UACGGAGGGGGGUUAGCGUUGUUCGGAAUUACUGGGCGUAAAGCGCACGUAGGCGGAUCAGAAAAGUUGGGGGGUGAAAUCCCGGGGGCUCAACCCCCGGAACUGCCUCCAAAACUCCUGGUCUUGAGUUCGAGAGAGGUGAGUGGAAUUCCGAGUGUAGAGGUGAAAUUCGUAGAUAUUCGGAGGAACACCAGUGGCGAAGGCGGCUCACUGGCUCGAUACUGACGCUGAGGUGCGAAAAGUGUGGGGAGCAAACAGGAUUAGAUACCCCUGUAGUCC
rnacentral:rRNA from 1 species